AGCUUUGCGCAGUGGCAGUAUCAUAGCCAAUGAGGUUUAUCCAAGGCGAGAUUAUUGCUAAUUGAAAACUUUUCCCAAUACCCCACCUUGACAACUUGAAAUAUUAAAAAAAAA
rnacentral:snRNA from 1 species